AUCUCUUCAGAGGCCCACCACUAUAGUGGGUUAUUACUACAGUAAGAGCUUUGGAUGACAGACAUUAUGAGACAUAGUCUUUUCUUGUUUGUAUUUGUGCUGUGGAUAAAAGGUCUGGCUUAUGGAAGCGUGGUCAACCAAACCCCCACGCUGUGGCCGAAAGUGGGAGAAAACGCAACGAUGAACUGCAGCCACACGAAGGAUGCCGGCUAUAGUCAGAUGUACUGGUACAGGCAGCUGCCAGGAAAACACAUGGAACUGGUGGUGUUCACCUUGUUUGGAAGAGAGAAACACGACUUUGGAGGUUUCAGCCAAAAGAAGUACUCCGCCACCAAACCCACAGCCGAGGCCGGGACCUUCACCGUGAUAAGUCUGCAGCCCGAAGACAAAGGCCUGUAUUUCUGUGCUGUGAGUCAACACAGUGAUACAGACACCCCUGAAGGCUGA